rnacentral:misc_RNA from 1 species
GAUGAAGAACGUAGCGAAAUGCGAUAAGUAAUGUGAAUUGCAGAAUUCAGUGAAUCAUCGAAUCUUUGAACGCACAUUGCGCCCGCCAGUAUUCUGGCGGGCAUGCCUGUUCGAGCGCCAUUACAACCCUCAGGCCCCCGGGCCUGGCGUUGGGGAUCGGCGGAGCCCCCCGUGGGCACACGCCGUCCCCCAAAUGCAGUGGCGGUCCCGCCGCAGCUUCCAUCGCGUAGUAGCUAACACCUCGCGACUGGAGAGCGGCGCGGCCACGCCGUAAAACACCCAACUCUUCUGAAGUUGACCUCGAAUCAGGUAGGAAUACCCGCUGAACUUAAGCAUAUCAAUAAGCGGAGGA